rnacentral:rRNA from 1 species
UUCGAUUAUGGACCAGAUUGAACGCUGGCGGGAUCUAACACAUGCAAGUCGGAGCAGCGGCACGGCUUUGGUCUGGUGGCGAGUGGCGAACGGGUGAGUAAUGUAUCGGAACGUACUGGCAGCGGGGGAUAACUACGCGAAGCGUAGCUAAUACAUACGCCCUUCAGGGAAAAGCGGGGACCUUCGGGCCUCGCACUAUUAGAAGCGGCCGAUAUCGGAUUAGCUGGUUGAGUGGAGUAACGGCUCGCAGGCGACGAUCCGUGGCUGGUUUGAAGGACGACCAGCCACACUGGGACUGAGAUACGGCCCAGACUCCGGGAGGCGGCAGUGGGGAAUUUUGGACAAUGGGGAAACCCUGAUCCAGCCAUCCCCGCGUGUGCGAUAUGAAGGUAUUCAGGUUGUAAAGCACUUAUGGCAGGAAAGAAGCGGCACGGGAUAAUACCCCGUGCAACUGAUUACCUGCAGAAUAACAACAACGUGCCAGCAGCCGCGGUAAUACGUAAAGUGCAAGCGUUAAUCGGAAUUACUGGGCGUAAAGCGUGCACGGGCGGUUCCGGAAGAAAAGAUGUGAAAUCCCAGAGCUUAACUUUGGAACUGCAUUUUUAACUACCGAAGCUGAAGGUGUGUCGGGAGGUGGAAUUCCCGCGAUGUAGCAGUGAAAUGCGGCGAAUAUGCGGAGGAACACUGAUGGCGAGGCAGCCUCUGGGAUAGCGCUGGCAUCAUGCCUGAAAGCGUAUGGGAAGCAAACAGGAUUAGACACCUGGUAGUCCACGCUAAACGAUGUCAACUAGCUGUUGUGAACUGGGCAGCAGUGCAGCGCAAUAACGCGUGAGAUUGACCGCCUGGGAAUCUGGUCGCAAGAUUCGGCUUUCUCAAAGGAAUUGACGGGGACCCGCACACAAGCGGUGGAUGAUGGAUUAAUUCGAUGCCAACGCGAAAACCUUACCUACCCUUGACAUGUCUGGAAUCCCGAAGAGAUUUGGGAGUGCUCGCAAGAGAACCGGAACACAGGUGCUGCAUGGCUGUCGUCAGCUCGUGUCGUGAGAUGUUGGGUUAAGUCCCGCAACGAGCGCAACCGCUGUCAUUAGUUGCUACGAAAGGGCACUCUAAUGGGGCCGCAGAGUGACAAUUGGAGAGGUGGGGAUGACGUCAAGUCCUCAUGGCCCUUAUGGGUAGGGCUUCACGUCAUACAAUGAUGGGACAGAGGUCGCCAUGCAGAGAUAAUCCAGAAACAGUCCUUGUAGUCGGAUCGCAGUCUGCAACUCGACUGCGUGAAGUCAAGGUGCUGGCGUAAUCGCGGAUCAGCAUGUCGCGGUGAAUACGUUCCGGGUCUUGUACGCACCGCCCGUCACACCAUGGGAGUGGGUUUUGCAGAAGUAGUUAGCCUAACCGUAAGGAGGGCGAUUACCACGGUAGGAUUCAUGACUGGGGUGAAGUCGUAACAAGGUAACUCUGUUUUGUUGCUCCCA